rnacentral:misc_RNA from 1 species
UUCAUUAUACAUAUCCCUGGAAAGAAACAAAAAAGUGCAGAUCAUCAGUAUCAAAUUUCUUAACUAAAGAGGCAGUAAUUCUAUUACAUCCUAACAUCAGGUAGAAAGGUUCAAUAUAUCAAAAUAAUUGAAUAAAAUUUUGAAUGAAUUAUAGCUGUGCAUUUUUCUUAUUAAAUUUCAGCAAUUGCACUGCAGUCAAUCCGUUAAAUGUAUUCUUGAAACCCAUGUCUGAUUAAUUCAUUAAUAUAGAGGUUUUCAUUUAUUCAUCACCCGUAUGAUGGAAUUUUAUCAAUUUAAACUGUUGCUCUAUAAUAUAUCUGCUUCCAAGAUUAAGUUGGCUUGGUCACAUGGCUUGUAGGAAUCUGCUACAAACCUUAACAGA